AAAAAUCUAGUUAAAACAUAACAUUGGACUGUCAGACCAAAAUAAUUAGUAAUCAACCUAAUGUUUUUUA
rnacentral:tRNA from 1 species